AGUGAACGCUGGCGGCAGGCCUAACACAUGCAAGUCGAGCGGCAGCGCGUCCGACCACCCUCGGGUGGUCGGAUGGCGGCGAGCGGCGGACGGGUGAGGAAUGCAUCGGAAUCUGCCUCGUUGUGGGGGAUAACGUAGGGAAACUUACGCUAAUACCGCAUACGACCUACGGGUGAAAGUGGGGGACCUUCGGGCCUCACGCGAUGAGAUGAGCCGAUGCCGGAUUAGCUAGUUGGCGGGGUAAAGGCCCACCAAGGCGACGAUCCGUAGCUGGUCUGAGAGGAUGAUCAGCCACACUGGAACUGAGACACGGUCCAGACUCCUACGGGAGGCAGCAGUGGGGAAUAUUGGACAAUGGGCGAAAGCCUGAUCCAGCAAUGCCGCGUGAGUGAUGAAGGCCUUAGGGUUGUAAAGCUCUUUUACCAGGGAUGAUAAUGACAGUACCUGGAGAAUAAGCUCCGGCUAACUCCGUGCCAGCAGCCGCGGUAA
rnacentral:rRNA from 1 species